AGUCUCAAACUCCUGGGCUCAAGUGAUCCUCCUGCCUCAGCCUCCCGAAGUGCUGGGAUUACAGGUGCAUGCCACCAUGCCCAGGUAAUUUUAGUAGAGAUGGAGUUUCACCAUGUCAGCCAGGCUGGUCUGGAACUCCUGACCUCUGGUGAUCCGCCCACCUCAGCCUCCCAAAGUGCUGGGAUUACAGGGCACUUUGCCACCAUCACCUUGACCUUCAUCGACAAGAACGGAGAGACUGAGCUGUGCAUGGAAGGUCGAGGCAUCCCUGCUCCUGAGGAAGAGCGGACGCGACAGGGCUGGCAGCGGUACUACUUUGAGGGCAUUAAACAGACCUUUGGCUAUGGCGCACGCUUAUUUUAGGGCCAGCGGCAGGGGACUCCAGCCUGCUGGACACUUCAGUCCAGCUCUCUCCUGACUGGGGCUUGCGACUCACAGGAUUGCAUCGUCCCAGCUGCUAACUUGGGGCCGGGGCCCCUCCCCUCCACAUAUACCUUGGGUUUGUGCAUGUUUUCUGCUGGGUGGGUUCAGAGGGCAAUUUCUCUUUUAUGUGUACAUAUGCUAAAUAAACAUAAUUUAAAAAA
rnacentral:sRNA from 1 species